rnacentral:lncRNA from 1 species
GAAUCCCAAUGAACCCCCCCUCAAGCGUCAGAAGUGGAGUGCCGCUUCCGAGCAUGAUAAUCUUUAUAGAGAUUCACCUAAACCAGCUAGAUCAAGGAUUCCAAAUCAGAGAUGGAUAGGUUUGUUGAUGCGUUGAGUUCCAGCCUAAUUCAUGCAUCUCCGCUGGCGGGAGGUGUUGCGUCGCCGACUGGAAGCACGAAUUUUUGUUUGGUCUCGAG